rnacentral:ncRNA from 1 species
CUCUGAGGGCUGGGUCGGAUGGGCUGGCGUAAGAAGCUGUUCCGGUUUUGGUGAGGACUGGGCGAGGCUUUCGGGCUUUACUCGGACCAUGCCGAGACCAGGCAGUAGACGACGUCAGCUGUGCUUGUCGUGUUUCGGCGCGCGGCAGCUUCGUCCGGCAACAAACAGCCAACUCAGAACUGGCACGGACUAGGGGAAUCCGACUGUCUAAUUAAAACAAAGCAUUGCGAUGGCUGUUGCUCGGUGUUGACGCAAUGUGAUUUCUGCCCAGUGCUCUGAAUGUCAAAGUGAAGAAAUUCAAUCAAGCGCGGGUAAACGGCGGGAGUGACUACGACUCUCUUAGACGGGCCGCUUGAUGAUGGUGUGCUGGACUGAGAGACAAACCUGAGCGUGGCGUGGGCAGACCAGCCUGCUG